GGGUUAGUAGGUUGGUCAUGCCUCUGGUAUGUACUGGUCUCACUGAUUCCUCCUUCCUGAUGAACCUUAAUGCCAUUAAUUUGGUGUUUUGGGGAAUUUGGACUGUUACUUUGAAAAAAUUAGAGUGUUUAAAGCAAGCUAACGCUUGAAUACAUUAGCAUGGAAUAAUGAAAUAGGACGAAGUUGUUUUAUUUUGUUGGUUUCUAGGAUUGACGUA
rnacentral:rRNA from 1 species